rnacentral:lncRNA from 1 species
AGGGGCUAUAGAAAAUGUCCAAAUCCUUUCUAGGCUGCUGACAGUGGAGGUCUGUGGUCACUCAGCUGUGAUUGCCAUGAGUGGAGGAGCCUGGCGUGACUCCAUGCCCCUAGAUCUGUGCAGGGCAAAGCGCUGCCACCUGAGGCAAGGGGUACCACUGUGACUCAGAGCUGAAGGAAGGCUCUCCAGGAGCUGAGACUAAUCCUGCCUGCUGCUGCAUUUCCAUCCUCUCCAGGAGGUCCGGCAGCUGUCUGCAGGGUGGGAGCAGCCCAAGAACCGGUUGCGAGAGCGGCUGCAGCAAGCAAAGGCAGAAGCGGCAGCCUGGGAAGCCUGGUCUGCAGGGCAGGACCGAGAGCCACCUCAGGCCCUCAGCACUGAAGACACUCGGAUUCCCCACCCUCCAGCCCAGCCCAGGAGAAGGGAGGUCAGCUGCAGGUGGAGGAAGGCUGAAAAUCUUCUCCCAGCAGAGGAGAGGGCAGUAGCAGCCCAGCUGGAGAGACUGCGACUAGACCACCUUUCCCCACGAGCUGCCCAGGUCCUCAGAAAGCUGGAGCCGCACCAGAGACAGAGGAGCAUCUACCAGCACGUCGCUGAGGAGCGGAGGCGGCGUCGAGAGCAGCAGAGGCAGCUCCCCUGGUAAGCGUCUCCAAAAAGGGAUGGUGCCGCCCCUGGCUGCAGGGUCCCUGCCUCCACUGAGGGCAGUCCCGGGGCAAAGAGGACAUUUGUCUGACAGCCCUCGUGAGACAGAAGCAGGUUUUGGAGGCUGGCUUUGGGCUGGACCUCCCUGACACCCAGGGGGGCUGCCUCGGCACCCAGAACAGGCUUUCCAUGGGGGAUGUAAAAGUCCUGGCUGAAGGCAGAGGGGUCCCUCUGAUGGAGGGCGCUCUCCUUUCCAAACCAGAGAGCGUGGCCUUCCCUUGCAGAGUCCUGCCCCAAGACACCUUGCCCCCGGGGGAAACACCCAAGGUCUCAGCCCCACCAGACUGAGCCCCAGGCUGACCA